UCUUCCUUUUUUUUCUUCUGUCUUCUACGACAUGACUUUAUGAUUUCAAUAACAAAUCUACAUUUGUUAUUAACAAUAUUGCUAACGAAACUCUAGCCGAAGGCAAAAGAAUGGCUCGAACUCUUCCUACAGAUGUCAGUUUGCUUUCGUCGCAUUUGUGACCGGCAUCCACCGUUUGGGGUCUAAAUAAUCCACAUCUGCUGAUUCAAUGGUUAUUACGGAGAGGUUGUCCAAGGAAGAAAUUGGUUGUUUAAAAGAGUGUAGAUUUCAAAUUUGGAGUGGCAUGCCCUUUUGAUUGAUAACUCAAAUAAUAGCAAAGGAGAAAAGGAGUCGGUGAACGGGCAUAUGGCAACUUAUUUCUUUGUUUCACAAGUUUUAACAAAUGCAGUAAUUUUGUUAAAAUGAGCAUCAAGCACGCGUACGCAUCGAGGAAACAAGGGGAGGUUGUUUAUAAAGUGUGAAUGAAUGCAGUUAGACAAUGGUGAUAUCAUAUGCUUUCAUAAAGCUUCUGCAAUGGGUAACGGGUAACGGGAGAAAUUAAAUAUACUGAUAAAGCUUCAUUGGUUACAAGAUUGGUCAAAACUUUCUCGAUGUUUGCAUAGAUUAAAAUGUUGGAGUAUUGAGGGAAGAAGUUGCAAAUGGAGCCAUUGAAAUUCAACGGUGCUUAUCCGUCGAGUGAGGAGUUAGAAUCUCUGGAAUUUAGAGGAGUAAGUAAUGAUUGAGGUUUUAUGAUGUUUACUAAUCAUUUAUAAUUAACAUAAAUAGUAUUAUGGUUCCAUGGUGCAGACUAAAGCUCUUCCAAAUAUUAGCAUUGUGUGAAAAGAAAAAGUGUCCAGGAGAGGCUCUCUUGAUGAAAGCAAAGAAGCUGAGAGAGAACAAGUUAUUGAAUCUGAAAUUGAUUUGACGACUGGAAUUUACUCUGCUGAAGUCAUCAAUACGGUAUCUACAUAGUUCAUUCAAUCAAAGGUUGACUGGAAUUUACUUUUGCAGGUUAUAAAUAUUUUUUUAUUGUUUACUUUUCAUCUAAUGGCAUAGCUGCUUGGCUCAGUUUAAUGUCGCUUGGCAUCAAGGUUUCGGUUUCGGUGUUGCAACUGUGGUAUUUGAGACACUACUUUCAUUCAUGACUACUAAAAGUAUUGAUAACGUGUUUCAAUAUGAGGCGGUACUAAGCUUGGAUCACUCCUUUCGCUGUUUGUUUUUACUUCAUCUACUUCUUCUCUGGUCCCUGCGUAUUUCUGUUGUGCAGGUUGUCGUAACUGUCGGUAUUGCUUUACAGGUUCUGCGUAUUAGUUCUCAAAGUUUCCGAAUUUCUAACAUGUACAAAUAAUAAUGAGUUUUUGGUCUCAUUGUUGUUGCAGUAAGAUACUGGACAGGGUGGUUUCUGUGGAGUAUACUCUGAGGGAUGAUAGUGAGAGGGUUGAUUAAAGCUGUAGCAGUCCCAGAAGAGGAGGAGGUGGUAUCACAGUGUGUGGUGCAUUUGGUCGGAUAUGAUUGUUGUACUGAGGUGUAUACAAGCCUGAUAUGGGCAGUAUGCGAUAAUGGAAGUGCUAUCGCGUUCGUUUGCAAUUCGGAGAGGUUAGUUUAAUUUUAUUUCCAAGCCUUGCGGUUAUCCGGGAGGGGCAGGUUUUGUGUUGAGUCUCAGUGGUUCCACAAUCUUACUGUUAGAAUUU